ACAGUUCCAGUGCAGCCAGCAAGAACAAACCUCAUAUAAGUUUUCAACUUUCUGCAUGAAUAAGGUUACGUUUGUUAUAACAUUGAAAUUGAAACAAAACAAGCACCUGAUUUCAAUAUUCCCGACAUCACUGCAGAUAUAGAAAAAUCGAUAAAGCAUUUUAUUUAGCAGAGUUCGAUAAUUUUGAAGACAAAGAAAAAAUCAUGUUGCCUCUUAUAGAAUCAUUGGUUUCCCACGCCAUUUCUUUACAUAAAUAUGCUAACGAUAUGACUGGAUGAUCAGAGAGGCAGAAUUAUAAGAGAAUUAACGUUAAUUCUAUUUCAAGAAUAAUAACUCCAUUCACUUCUGGAAAUGAAGUAAAAAUACCUGAAUUGAGUGAAGCAGUGGUUAAAAAUCUAGUGAAGAAAUCUGUUUGCUCAGUGUAUUGGAUAUAUUGACUGAUGUAUUAGAAACUUUCUUGCAAAAAUUUUGUCAGAAAGUAGUACAAUAUAUGGACAGUUUUGAACAUAAAGAUAUAGGAUUCAGCAGGAUCAUUGAAAAAGUAUUAAUAGAAAUUGGAAUGGGUGGAGUUCGAGGACUCCAUGGUUAUUUUCAAAACGGAGUAAUCAGUUAGAAAACCCAGAAUUCCACAUUUCUUUGUUAGGAGGUGAAGCAUCUGUAAUUCAGUCUGGUUUACAGUUAUUACAUAGUUUAGAAGCAGAAGAGAAUUCACUAACUUAGGACAAUGGUAUAGAAGAAGUAAUUACAACAAAUAAAAUGGGAAUAUAUUUAAAAUUAAGUAGUAGCAAAUUUGUAGUGAGUUAUUGAUCAUGAUUUAUUCACUCUUGUUUUUCAAUCAGUUGAGUAUUUCAUUUGAAAAUCAAGAAACAAUAUCUUGGUCUUGAUAAAAUUUAGUACUCGACUAUAUUUCACUUUUGUUUGCUUAAUAGGCAUAGACUGAUAUUUAUUUGUAAAACCAUAAAUGGAAAUUCAAAUCUGUCAUGUGAAGUGAAGUUUUUCCCUUUCGUAUAAAUUAGGGCUCCAGCACAUAUUGUAUGUGUAUGUAUGUAAAUAUUGGGUUCUCAUAUAUACUGUGACCCAAAGGAUCUAUUGUUUAUCUUCUAUUGAGGGGACAGUGCCCCGAUAGUACUCCUCUUACUAUCUGUAGGUUGUUCUUACUUAGGCUGAUACAUUCAACAGAUCUUCUCUGAUUACAGUUUCUCAGGAGAGUAUUUGUCUGUCUCAGCCACUGUAAAUUGUCCCAGUAACUAGUUAUGCCCUAUCUAGCUCAUUUUUAAAAGAUUCUUUUAUUGUUCUAUAGCUUAUACCACAAAACAAUUCAGGUCCUAAGAAGGGUUUUCCUGCCCUUAUUUUAAAAAUUUUAUCAGCUAUUUUGUUUCCAUCCACUCUGGUGUAUCCCAGAAUCCAUUGCAGGGUAACUUUAUUUUUCUUGCCUAGCACAUAUUUUACGCACAACUAUUUAUUUUCAAAAUAGAAUAGCUUAAAGUUAGUUUUUAUCUUGGAAACAUUUUCAAAAGAAUAUGCUAACAAUAAGUGUUUAAUUUAUCUACAGACAUAUAAACAUACUUAACACACUCACAAUUACUCUAUCUGCACCUUCAAGCCUUCCGUAAAUGGCUAGUUCAUAUCUGGUUAUAAGGAAUGAGAGUGUUAUUGUCUGAGAAUACCACCAACAGUUCCAGAAUUCUAACUUAGGCAUGUAACAGAUUAAAACAUUAAAUUCAAUAUGUACUCCAGUGAAAAGCAGUACAAUCAACCAAUUUUAUAAUAAAAACAAUUCAAAUUGGUUUUUAAUUUUCUUAUAGAUUAAAUUCUUUCUAGUAAUUUGUUGUUUAUAGGUUCUUAUGUUUAGAAUAUUAACUUCUUUCAAAUAAUUAUAAAAAACUGAUUUAAUUUACAAUUUUAUCAGUUAUUUUGCAAAAACCGUCUAUAAAGCAAAAAAGCAUCUGUUUCUAUAAUUUGAUAAAUUUUAUAAAAGCCAGGAUAAAUUUAUAGAAAAUCGUAAGUAUUUCAUAAGAUCUUUAUUAGAAAAAAGUCAAACAACAUUUAUUUUCCUUUACUUUCACGCUCUGCUUUUCUUUCCGCUGCACGUUUAAGUUGUUGUUUCGUGCUUAAAUUGUGCCUUUUGGAAAAUCUUUGGUUUUUAAGGAAUUUGGCAUCCAUCUAAAAAAAUUAAAAACAGAUUAUAUCUAAAGCACAUUAACACAAACUACUAUUGAAAACUAUCAUACCACUUAUAUUUCUAAAUUUAUUUUAUUUACUCAAGGAAACAACAUUUAAUGUAAGAAAAUAAGUAUUGAAACAAAUAAGAUAACAUAAUCAUACUGUAGCUUAUUUGGUUAAAAUUAACAGAUAAAUCAUAUCAUUAGUUCAGAAAAUUCAAGUAAUGAUGAAUAUGUAAGGUACUGCAACUUUACUAUAAAAUAUAAAAAUAAGAGUAAAAAAUGUAAAUUUGACCAGUAAAAGAUUUACGAUUGCUAUAGAUACAAGUUUACUAGAAAUCAUUAUUAUUUGAUAUUUUAACCAAAAAAAAAACAGAAGUGUAAAAAUUAAGGUUUCAUGAUUACCCACACUUAAAGCUAACCAUAAGGUGGUGAAACAAAGAUUUUCUGUUACCCAGAAUUAGUUCCUAUUUCAAAGAUUUUCUGUUACCCAGAAUUACACACAGUGUCUGUUAAAGCAGAUUAAAUCCAGAAAACAUUAAACAAUGUAAAGUUAUACCUUAUACUCGUUCGUACAUAUACUAAUAUAAAACUGAAUAAAUUUUAAAACAGAUAAGGCAUAUUUGUAGUGGUGCGACAAUUUCAAACAGAAAUUUAUAAAUUGAAAUAAUUUACAAUUUAAGGCAUAAAAGAACUGUCAAAUGUAGAAUAAUCCAAAUUUGAAAAGAAAUAAAAUGUAUACUUAAAAAAUGUGAA